AUACGGAGGGUGCAAGCGUUAUUCGGAAUCACUGGGCGUAAAGGACGCGUAGGCGGGUUGGCACGUCAGAUGUGAAAUCCUACAGCUUAACUGUAGAACUGCAUUUGAAACUGCUAACCUAGAGUAUGGGAGGGGGAGAUGGAAUUAGUGGUGUAGGGGUAAAAUCCGUAGAUAUCACUAGGAAUACCGAAAGCGAAGGCGAUCUCCUGGAACAUAACUGACGCUAAGGCGUGAAAGCGUGGGGAGCAAACAGGAUUAGAAACCCUAGUAGUCC
rnacentral:rRNA from 1 species